rnacentral:tRNA from 1 species
GGGCGCGUAGCUCAGCGGGAGAGCACCUCGUUGUCAUCGAGGGGGUCACUGGUGCAAUCCCAGUCGUGCCCACCA